CAAAAAACACAUAUGAAACUG
rnacentral:miRNA from 1 species